UUGGGGAUAAAAUUGCUUAAUCAGAGCAAUUAUCCAAAAGAAGGAGGGAAUAUCAAUAUCGAAUAUUGGAUAAUGAUAACCGUCAAAGAGGGGAUUACAUCUACCGUAUACUGGGUAGAAAACCACAGAAGAGUAACCGUCAUCAACUAGGAUGAACAACAAGAUUAACUCUGCAAAAGGGGGAAAAAUAGGGUUUACAACUACCGGUAUAAGGGUAGAAAACCACAAACUCCGCUGGGGAAAGAAAGUAGGAUUUAUAGCUACCGG
rnacentral:lncRNA from 1 species